rnacentral:sRNA from 1 species
AAGGGCGCAUGGCGGAUGCCUUGGCUCACGGAGGCGAUGAAGGACGUGAUAAGCUGCGAUAAGCCCCGGGUAGGUGCAAAUGACCUUUGAUCCUGGGAUUUCCGAAUGGGACAACCCGGCAGGCUGAAGGCCUGUCAUCACCGCAUGUGCGGUG